CAACAGCGUAUAUUAAAGUUGCUGCAGUUAAAACGCUCGUAGUUGUUGUCCAACCAUACGCCAUCUUCUUCAACGAAGAGGGUCCAUUGGUUUAGUAGAAACCUUUGGCUUCUACCAAAACCUUGAGGAAAGAUUAGUGUUCCAAGCAGUUGUCUAUUGUCCUCGCCAGCAUGGUAUUCAACCAUAUUGAAGAAGAUUUUGUCGAGUCUUCUUCUGACUAAAUAGAAAUUCAAGGGGGUAUACGUACUCCAAUGUCAGAGGUGAAAUUCAUUGAUUUUUGGAAGACGAUCAAUUGCGAAAGCAUUAACCAAGCGAUUAUUCUUUA
rnacentral:rRNA from 1 species